CCUACGGGGGGCUGCAGUAAGGAAUAUUGGUCAAUGGAGGAAACUCUGAACCAGCCAUCCCGCGUGAAGGAUGAAGGGGCUCUGCCUUGUAAACUUCUUUUGUCUGGGGCGAAAAAGCUCGAUUUAUCGAGAACUGACGGUACCAGAAGAAUAAGCACCGGCCAACUCCGUGCCAGCAGCCGCGGUAAUACGGAGGGUGCCAGCGUUAUCCGGAAUCACGGGGUUUAAGGGGUGCGUAUGCGGCAGUGGUGAAAGGCUGUGGAUGAACCAUGGAAUUGCCAUUGAUACUGCAAAGCUUGAAUGAGGUUGAGGUUGGCGGAAUGUGACAUGUAGCGGUGAAAUGCUUAGAUAUGUCAUGGAACACCGAUUGCGAAGGCAGCUGACUGGACCUAUAUUGACGCUGAGGCACGAAAGCGUGGGGAGCGAACAGGAUUAGAUACCCCGGUAGUC
rnacentral:rRNA from 1 species